rnacentral:rRNA from 1 species
UGGCUCAGAACGAACGCUGGCGGCGUGCUUAACACAUGCAAGUCAAGGGGACCCGCAAGGGUAACCGGCGAACGGGUGCGUAACACGUGAGCAACCUGCCGAUUUGUGGGGGAUAGCCGGCCCAACGGCCGGGUAAUACCGCAUACGCUUUUGGAGAGACAUCUCUCUUUGAGGAAACCUCCGGGGCAGAUCGAGGGGCUCGCGGCCUAUCAGCUAGUUGGCGGGGUAUCGGCUCACCAAGGCGGGAAAGGUAGCCGGCCUGAGAGGGCGACCGGCCACACUGGGUUNCUCCCCGGCCCAUGAUCAUACGGGAG